CGGCUCCAUCCACGGCCUCUUGUACUCAUAUCGUAUUAUCUUGAUUACAAAUUUUUAUGCAUCAAUUAAUAUUCCAGUGUUUAUUACAGAUGUUUUAUGAAUCAGAUAGUAGUUCAGAGUUUGUUUUCGCAGAAUCGAAGUCUAGCUACAGUUUCAAUCUCUUAUCAGAUUUUCCUAUGGUUUUAGUAUCAUCCUAUUUAGAGUAUCCUAGUAAGGUUUCAGUACAGACAGAUAAUUCAGGAAAAUAUUCUGAAAAAUUCAGAAUACUUACAGACUUGAG
rnacentral:lncRNA from 1 species